ensembl:piRNA 21ur-4890 ncRNA
UAAACCGUAUGUAGUAAAAGA